rnacentral:rRNA from 1 species
AACGUAGGACACAAGCGUUAUCCGGAGUUACUGGGCGUAAAGGGCGUGUAGGCGGAUCGGUAAGUCUACUCUGAAAGCUCCUGGCUAAACUGGGAGAGGCGAGUGGAGACUGUCGGUCUAGAGUGAGGAAGAGGAAAGUGGAAUUCCGCGUGUAGUGGUGAAAUGCGUAGAGAUGCGGAGGAACACCAGUGGCGAAAGCGGCUUUCUGGUCCUU